UCCCACUCUUGGCUGCAACUUCCAACAGCAGCGGCUAAGAUGAGCCCGUCCUGUCGGCUGCCGGAACGAGUAGGUUUGGACGCUGAGCUUGCUUCCGCCGGUCACGCCUGUCUGUAGCAGUCUAACGAGGAAUGACCCCCGCACUGUCCUCCCGGCAGCCAGAUGUGGGGACCCUUGAUGGAGUAGUGCACUUCCUCUCACAAGUCCGUUUCAAAAACAGGUCCCCAUCGCCCGCAAAGUCCGUUCCGUGGCUGCACUGCCCUUGGCUCCUGUUUUGUGGUUCCAAAGAAAUAAUAGGUCGUCUGCUGCUGUUGCGAAGAAAUAUGUCGUUUAACUGCCUCGUUUUAAGGGCCCACAGAAGACUUGAUUUCUUGACUUUCCUUAUGUUGGAACCAUGUGACUGAGUUUGGUAGACAUGGGCAGGAGUAAGCCACUUCCAGGCCUACCUGAAAAAUAUUACUUCCCCUUUCCAAAGUGACUGGGAGGCCAGAUGUUCCAGAUGAAGGUGGAGAAGGGCUGAUCUAUUGCCAAAGGACUUUGUGUAAGCAAAAAAUAAACUUUGGUUGUGCUC